UACGGAGGGUCCAAGCGUUAUCCGGAAUCAUUGGGUUUAAAGGGUGCGUAGGAGGGCAGGUAAGUCAGUGGUGAAAUCCCCGAGCUUAACUUGGGAACUGCCGUUGAUACUAUCUGUCUUGAAUGUUGUGGAGGUAAGCGGAAUAUGUCAUGUAGCGGUGAAAUGCUUAGAUAUGACAUAGAACACCAAUUGCGAAGGCAGCUUGCUACACAAUUAUUGACUCUGAUGCACGAAAGCGUGGGGAUCAAACAGG
rnacentral:rRNA from 1 species